rnacentral:rRNA from 1 species
UACGGGGGGGGCAAGCGUUGUUCGGAAUUACUGGGCGUAAAGGGCUCGUAGGCGGCCAACUAAGUCAGACGUGAAAUCCCUCGGCUUAACCGGGGAACUGCGUCUGAUACUGGAUGGCUUGAAUCCGGGAGAGGGAUGCGGAAUUCCAGGUGUAGCGGUGAAAUGCUUAGAUAUGACAUAGAACACCAAUUGCGAAGGCAGCUCGCUACACGAAGAUUGACUCUGAGGCACGAAAGCGUGGGGAUCAAACAGG